GGAGGUGUAGUGGGAAAGAAAGGACACGUCAGCAUCUGGCCGUGGGGCGCGGGGAGCCAUGGGAGCCCUGAAGGCGGGGCCGGCCUCGCCCUCCUGCCUGGUUCCGCCCCUGCCCCGCCCCUCAAGCGGCAAAGCGCCCACGUGUACCCGGAGGUUCCGGAGCUGUACACCGGAACUGGACAACAAGGGCUUGGGUCCUGGAACUAAGGAAGCCGUCCUGAAGGAAUCUCACUGCUCUCGGAGUUCCGACGUUUCACUUCAGCAGAACAGAAGAAACUUUUGAAAAUCGCAGCCACUGGAUAAUCUCCUGGUGUUAGUCUUGCCCAGGAAUGUGGCCGCGAAUCUUCCUGCGGUCUGGAGUAUCACAGGUCUUGUGAGUUCCACUAAUGUUUGUUGAUGGAGUGAACAAGAAGCUCAGAAUGGUCCAAGAGGUAAAGUUAUUUGCAUGCAAGACUGUUGACCCGAGUUCAAUCCCUGGGACCUACAUGGUGGAAGGAGAAAACCAACUCCUGCAAGUCGUCUUCUGACUGCUUAUGCAAACGCACGUGAAUAGAUUCGACCACAUUGUUUCCCAUGGCCUCUUUUGUCAUCUUCAUUGGACGCAUAUACCAGGAUGCUUGUAUCCAUUCUACUAUCUAAAACCAUUUGACUUUUGAAAGCUCGUGUUGUCCAAAGGUGACCACAGCAGUGGCUCUCAAACACUUUUCCAAAAAAGCAAAAACAAAAGCAACCUUUACAUUUGUUCUCUUAAAAAGUGGGAUCCUGUUUCUUUCUUUCAUUUUGGCGCCUGUGGGGGUCUGCUGGGAACAGAAUCUUAAAACAAGCAAGUAUGUCUGGAAGGCUGAGGAGAAAGGCCAUUUUUGCUGGCUACAAGUGAGGUCUCCAGAACCCCAGAGAGCACACAGCUCUUCCUCAGAUAGAAGGUAUCUAUGCAAGAGAUGAAACUGAGUUCUACUUAGGCAAGACAAGUGUGUAUGUGUAUAAAGCAAAAAAGAAUACAGUGACUCCUGGAGGCAAACCAAACCAAACCAGAGUGAUCUGGGGAAAGGUAACUCGGGCCCACGGGCCCUCGGGCCCACGGAAACAUUGGCAUGGUUCUUGCCAAAUUCCAAAGCAACCUUCCUGCAAAGGCCACUGGACAGAGUCCGUGUGAUGCUGUACCCGUCCCAGAUUUAAACUACUGGGGAAUAAAUAAAUAGAAAUGGAUUUGUUUUUUGUUUGUUUGUUUGUUAAGUGGGGUCUGUAUGGGUCUCUGCUCUCCCCCAACCAAUAGAGUACCGCAAGAGUACCAUUUCUUUUUGUUUGUGUAUUUAUUGACUCGUUUUUGGAGAAAGGGGCUGUAGUCUAUAGCUUAAGCUGACCUCAGACUCCCGACCCUCCUGCUUCACCCUCUUGGACUCCUGCCACCACACCCAGCUAGCAGAUGUGGUUUCCAACACUAGAUUAUUUUAAAUGCCGGAUACUCCCACAGCUUGAGUGCUUGCACUUGGAACCCACCCCACCCCCUUUUUCCUUUAAACUAAAAAUGUCUCUUCCACUGUUGCUUUCCUUAAAGACUUCACAUCCGAUUAAAACUUCCUAGGGUCAGGGAACUUGAGAAAGAGAGAAGCAGCUGGAACUUAGUGGAAGCACAAUAAAAAGUUGUGCUUGAUUAUGAGAUGAAAGUGAUAAACUUUCCUCCAACAAAGUACCCCAGAAGUGUUUCAGUACCCACAGAGGUCGCCCAUCCUCCUUCCUGCCCGAGGCUCCUAGACAGCACAUACCUCAGUUCCCCUCAGGAUCAGGCAGUGCUGAGCAGGCAGCAGGCUGGGUCUGUAAGCCCUGCCUUUGUCACCCCUUCAGGCCAAUACAAUUCAACAGGCGCUCUGAGAAGAGAGCAGAUUGCUUCUCGCUGGUGACAGUAUGAUUGAUAGUUAUAGUGCCAUGACAUUCUAGCCUCCAGAUCAGAAUUCGCCUAGGAGUAAUAAAUAGGAGCGAGUCCCUUGUGGCCAUAAAACAACUGCUUGGAGAAGCAACAAAAGUCCCUUUCCUAUGUGAGUGUUUUCUUUGGCCUUGCUUUGUCAAGUACCAUAUCAGUGUGCUGUGUAACCCAUAUGUUCAUAAUGUUUAGUAGCUAAACAGCCUCCCAGGA